UCAUGACUGACUUGUCUCAGGUUUUUGUUUGCUAUCACUCUUGAUGUGUCAGUGUGUGGUAGCCACUGUUUGUAUGUCAGGUACAGUGUGUUUGCAGGUUUACAGAGUUUAUUUGUCCAGGUGUUUGUCGUGCUCUCCAUUGUGUUCCUGUUUGUAUUUGUAUUUGCGUCUAUUGUGUCAAAAUGGAUGGAAGUGUUUUCACCCGUUCUGAGUGUCUUUCCUGAAUUUAAAGGACUAUGCCAUUGUCUUGGUGCUCACGUCUUUGUGUAGGCGCGCCCAGACUAUUGUACUGCCACUGGACCCCGCACUGGCAUUGCUGCUGAUAUAGAGCUUAUUGAUAGUGAUUGUUGUUGCACAGAUGAGAGUUCAUCUCAAUAGGCGGCAAACCAUUCAGACACAGAAGGUCCUUUACCUGCCUCCGCCAGACAUAUGUGAGAGAUAAGGUCACCUUAAGACCCUACGAGGACCCCCUCUACCUUUACAGCAUCCUCAUCCUCCUCAGCCCACACAACCUCACCCCUCUAGUGAAACAAACCAAACAAUAGAGGUAGAUAUGUGAGGGAUUAGAGUUCAGAGGGUUGGGGAAUGCGACAUCUCCAUUUCCAGGAUCAAUCUCCAACCGCUUGGUAAUCUGUGGCCCCAGGCCCCACAUACCUCCAGUGGUCUCUCUGGCUGAGAGCUGGCAUUGCCAGGUGGUACUCCUGCUGGUUGCAGGGUGCUGAUAGGAUAGUGUGGGAGUGGGGUUAUAACCUGAUGGUGUGGGUGGAUGGAGGAGCAGAGGGACGAGUAACAAAGGGUCCUCGCUUUAUGUCCAAACCUCACAUAAAUCCUUGUGUUUGUGUGUGUGUGUGUGUGUGUUUGUGUGUGUUUGCAUGUAUGACAUACACACAACGUUAUCGCGUGUCUGUGUACUCUGUGCGCACAUGUUUGUAAAGUUUGUUUUAAUCUGUAAAUGUGAAAUAACUUUGAGUUCUUCAGAGCAAACUGAAUAUUAUCCCCAAGUUCCCGUUGUUAUCUUGUGUACACACAUUUGUUUAUUUGAUACAGCCCCUCUCCACCACUGCACUUCUGUAUAUCAAAGACAGCAGUGCAGAGCGCAAUUGAAAAUGGCUACCGUGGAGAAAGGUCUCUCUCUGCUUUGACUGCGAAGAGGCAAAAAAAAAAAAAAAAAAAAAAAGCCCCAUUCUCCGCUCCCUUCUUAGAUCUAUUUAAAUAAUUGAGGGGUAAACUGACAAAUUAGGCACCUUUAUGGACGCCCCUGGGCUCUCUCUGGGGUCCUUCAGUUUCCCCAAUACAAGAGAGCGCCACCAGCCACAGGAUAAUAUCUCUGUGUGCUUUGAGAGGGGGGGGGGGGGAGGAGGGGGGUAGUGGACCAGGAGGGGUUUCGCCAAUCAAGCGGGCCACACUUCCUCCCCCAGGUUCUAAUUUUGUGCCACAUUAAAGAGCUCGGCCUCCAUUUAGGACACAGAGAGGCAUUUUCAUAAUUUGCCGGGUCUCUCGACUAGCUCGAGGUGCCUUUUUUCCCCUCUCUCUCUCUCUCUCUCCUCCCUCUCUCUCACUCCGUGUCUGAAUGGAAGGCUUGGGGAGGAAGAGGGGUAAUUCAUUCGCCUCCUUUCAACCAACCCCGCUUCAGUUCUGCAUAAUGUUGCUGCUAGGUGUAUAUGGCAGCUAAUAUUUAUCUCUUUUAAUAAUUCUCCAUUAGACCAGAAUAUUAUUUGCAGCAUAAAAGCUAACACUGCUCAUUGUCAGCUGUGCAAAAAUAGUGUCAUCCCUGUUUUGUUGAUGCAUUAAGGCUAAUUUCAUAUUUAGCACUUUCAUUUAAAAGACUAUAGUGGAUCUAAUCUGUGACCGUGCAGCCCAUACAGCCGCGACGCUCGCUCGAUAAAAUCUGUGAUGUACUAUGCAUACGGGACAUAAUCUAGGUUAAAGUUGUUUAAAUUCCUCUCGCUGACACCAUCCAUUCAUGAACUACAGCGUGCAUAAGCAUUGAUUCAUAUGUGAUUGGUCACAUAAUUCACAGUCUCAGGGGGCAUUUCAUCGCUGACAGACAAGCUAAUCUAAAAUCCCCCAAUUUACAAAUGAAAAUCCCACCAUCCAAUUGAGCUAAUAGAGGGACUUGAAUGGGAUAAUAAGAUGUGGUGUAAUACUGUGUAAAAAGCCUGUAAUGUUGUGUUGGUGUAAGAGCCUGUGUGACUGGAUGUUUGACUGUUUGCAGUGAUUACAGGGGCCUGCGGGCCUGGCGGCGGCUCCGUGGCUGGGGCAGGGAGCUUCUCCCUGGGCAAGGAGAUACGCCUGUCUGCCCCUUCUGCUGGAGCUACAGGGACCAGGAUGUCAGGAGGGGAGAGUCCUCCCUGUGAGCUCAUUCUUCCUCUCCCUCUUUCAUUCCGUCUCUUUCUGUCUGUCUCUCUCUCUCUCCCUCUCGUUGCCGGUCUUUCUGUGUCUGUACUAUUGCAGUGCUUGCAGAUGUGCACAAACAAGGGAGGAUUAAAGCAAAACGAAUCUAAACAGACAAAUGGAAUUAGAGUGAUGGGUGUCGGUGGGCUGGUUCACAGUGAUAAACAUAAUGAUGCUCUGUAUGUGUGUGUGAGUGUGUGUUCCUGUGUCUAGGGGAUUAUCAGUGGUUAGGUGUGUGGUGUGUAUGGCUGGGUGACUGCUUCUGGGUGUCUUUGUGUGUUUGCCUAUCUGUCUAUGUUUUUGUAAUUAUGUGUGUGUAUAUUUACUCGUUCUCUACUUGUGUGUGUGAUAAAUGUGUUUUCUACAUUGCCUCACAAAAACAAGUCUCUGCUCCCCUUGCAUGUGUGCGUGUUUAUAUGUUUCUCUGUGUUUUCCUGUUGUUGGGGGUCAUAUUUCCUUCUUGUUUUUCAUAGUGUCUGUUUGUAUUUGUGUACUGGAGCUACCUAAGCCUGUGUGUCUCCACUGGACAUCAAAACUCUUCACCCAAUAUUGACACAUGCCUAGAAAGAUGUUUGUUGAAUGUGUCGGUCUCAAACUAAUCUUGUGUAGCGCCCUGCAGUUUAUGUGCUGACGUUGUGUAUGUAGACUUGUUUUCUUGUGGCAGGGGUCUGUGUGUUUGUGCUCUGAGGAGGUCAGGACUGUGGAGGAACCAGCAGGGGGGCAGUGAUCAACAGCCUGGGGCUCCUCUGCCGAGGGGCUCUGGGAUUAGGGCUAAACCCUGCCCUGCCAGAUGGGCACAACACAUCGCACACCAGCACCAGCACCUUUCGGACUGCACCCGUCCUGCCCCCCUUUUUCUGUGGAUAUUAGGCGACUGGAACCACGAUGGAUGGAUACUCACUCAGAGGACCACACAGAAUGGCGGCAAGAGAGACGACUGAGAUGAGGACCUGGAAUUUCCACGAGGAAGUUUGAUCCUUAUAAUCCAAGCAAUCGGCAUUGAAGUUCAGCUUCCACGACGCCGCUUGGUCCUUAUAAUCCAAGCAGUCUGC